rnacentral:rRNA from 1 species
GAUGAACGCUGGCGGCGUGCCUAAUACAUGCAAGUCGAACGCACAGCGAAAGGUGCUUGCACCUUUCAAGUGAGUGGCGAACGGGUGAGUAACACGUGGACAACCUGCCUCAAGGCUGGGGAUAACAUUUGGAAACAGAUGCUAAUACCGAAUAAAACUUAGUGUCGCAUGACACAAAGUUAAAAGGCGCUUCGGCGUCACCUAGAGAUGGAUCCGCGGUGCAUUAGUUAGUUGGUGGGGUAAAGGCCUACCAAGACAAUGAUGCAUAGCCGAGUUGAGAGACUGAUCGGCCACAUUGGGACUGAGACACGGCCCAAACUCCUACGGGAGGCUGCAGUAGGGAAUCUUCCACAAUGGGCGAAAGCCUGAUGGAGCAACGCCGCGUGUGUGAUGAAGGCUUUCGGGUCGUAAAGCACUGUUGUAUGGGAAGAACAGCUAGAAUAGGAAAUGAUUUUAGUUUGACGGUACCAUACCAGAAAGGGACGGCUAAAUACGUGCCAGCAGCCGCGGUAAUACGUAUGUCCCGAGCGUUAUCCGGAUUUAUUGGGCGUAAAGCGAGCGCAGACGGUUUAUUAAGUCUGAUGUGAAAGCCCGGAGCUCAACUCCGGAAUGGCAUUGGAAACUGGUUAACUUGAGUGCAGUAGAGGUAAGUGGAACUCCAUGUGUAGCGGUGGAAUGCGUAGAUAUAUGGAAGAACACCAGUGGCGAAGGCGGCUUACUGGACUGCAACUGACGUUGAGGCUCGAAAGUGUGGGUAGCAAACAGGAUUAGAUACCCUGGUAGUCCACACCGUAAACGAUGAACACUAGGUGUUAGGAGGUUUCCGCCUCUUAGUGCCGAAGCUAACGCAUUAAGUGUUCCGCCUGGGGAGUACGACCGCAAGGUUGAAACUCAAAGGAAUUGACGGGGACCCGCACAAGCGGUGGAGCAUGUGGUUUGAUUCGAAGCAACGCGAAGAACCUUACCAGGUCUUGACAUCCUUUGAAGCUUUUAGAGAUAGAAGUGUUCUCUUCGGAGACAAAGUGACAGGUGGUGCAUGGUCGUCGUCAGCUCGUGUCGUGAGAUGUUGGGUUAAGUCCCGCAACGAGCGCAACCCUUAUUGUUAGUUGCCAGCAUUCAGAUGGGCACUCUAGCGAGACUGCCGGUGACAAACCGGAGGAAGGCGGGGACGACGUCAGAUCAUCAUGCCCCUUAUGACCUGGGCUACACACGUGCUACAAUGGCGUAUACAACGAGUUGCCAACCCGCGAGGGUGAGCUAAUCUCUUAAAGUACGUCUCAGUUCGGAUUGUAGUCUGCAACUCGACUACAUGAAGUCGGAAUCGCUAGUAAUCGCGGAUCAGCACGCCGCGGUGAAUACGUUCCCGGGUCUUGUACACACCGCCCGUCACACCAUGGGAGUUUGUAAUGCCCAAAGCCGGUGGCCUAACCUUUUAGGAAGGAGCCGUCUAAGGCAGGACAGAUGACUGGGGUG